ensembl:lncRNA
AUGAUCUUAAAGGUCCCUUCCAACCCAAACCAUUCUGUGAAUUCUGUGAGUGUAUUAUUUUGGGUGAAUGUCCUCCCAGACUUUAACAGGCAUCUGUCAGCACACACAGCCUUGCUCAACAAUUCCGACGUGUUACCAACUUCCACAGAAAACAUACAGAGCCUGAAAGCUGCUGGCGAGCGGCGGGCAAGGAGCAGUCCGCAGAGGAUGGCGGUGGGCAGCCCAGCCACGCUUAUCGCUCGACAGCAUCGCCGACUCCGCAGAAAAGGGCCUAAAUCCGAGGGGUGGCAGCGACCGGACGGAGCCAAAGACCGCAGCAGCCGGGCCGAGCCCAGAUGCCAGGCCGGCCCCUCCGCUCCUGAGGCACACCCUAUCCCGCCCCGUCCCUCCCGCCAGGGCACAGGGGUCCGCCGCGACAUCGCCUCCCACCUCAGCUACCUCCCUCCCGGCGCAGACGGCCCCGCAGCACCGCGCUCCAUUACCUGUCGGCCUCCCGCAGGGCCCUGCCCCCCGCACUGCGGCCCCCGCCGCCCGCACAUCCGCCCCCUCCUGCGCCCACCGCAGCGCUCACAGCCACUUCCGCCCCGCCACUUCCGCUCGCUGCCGGAAGGGGCGGGCGCAGUCACCAUGGCGACGACGGUGUUCGGCCGUGGGCGGGAACGGACUGUCGGCGUUGCCAUGGAGACGGCAGGGCGGAAUUUAUCAGCCCCGCCCCUCGGUGGGCUGCCCCUGCGAACGGCGAAAAAUAGAGUUCAGUGAUUAAUGUUGAAGCACCAGACUUGCUUUCCUUGUGUAUGGGAACUGCUGAGUCACGGCCUGAACCUCUGAUUGAUCACCUGAGGCGAGCAAUGAGUCAGCUCUGGGAGCACAGGUGAAAGCAAUUCACCUGUGCUGCAGGAAGGGGUGGAGCCUGGCUCCACCCCUCCUAGACCCAUUUAAGAGCUGACUACCAGUGGGGAAGGAUCUCUCUUCUGAAGAUCCACUCCACUGGAGUUUCCUGAGUGAGCCUACGAUAUGGGUAAGCAUCCUAUCUAUUCUCUUUGUCUUGCUUUGCCUGACUCUCUCAUUUAUUUCAUUAUUAUAACAUCUUAAUAUUAUUUGAUUAUACAAUAUUCCUUUAUACAAUUUUCCUUGAUUAUACACUAUCUUAAUAUUCUUUGAUUAUACACCUUGUCAUUUAGUUAUUUGUUGUUGAAAAUCCUCACCAUCCUCUUUUAUUCUGAACCGUUCUGAAUAUCAGACUGAGAUAAUGAAAUAUGAACUUCUCAAUAAUCUUUUCCUCGUCAUCUUUACCUGUUCUCCCCAGUUACUCACUAUUUCAGAAAUCAUAGAGUAAGAUGCAAAUCGUAUUUUCUUGAUUUCAUUCAGCUUAUUCCAGUUGUCUUUGUGUUUUCUCUGUGCUUUCUAUAAUCUGUGUUCAAAAGCCUAAAGAUCUUUAACCUAGGUGUUGAAAGAAAGCUGGAAGUAUAGAAUUGAUCUGCUUUUCUGUGAGAAACUGGAAAAUCAGUCCUGGGGAUUGAUAGUCCAUCUAUACUGCCUUUCAAUUAGUUCAAUCUGUCUUUAAAUUUAUUCAUCUUAUUUACUUAUUUUGAACCACGUAUCAUUUUAAAAGUCAUCAUUUAAAAUUCCUUGAUUGCCAUUUCUCUUACGCAUCCAGAGCAUUUGAAGACAGAUGCUGUCUGAGUUGUAUUAUGGUUUAGUUCAUUUCUUCCUUUUGAUUCUUAUUUACUCUUAAAAGUCCGUGUUAAAGCAGUCCGUCUUUGAGUCUGUAGGUGGGCCUCAGCAAAUGCAGCAUCCCCAAGCUCAUCUGUUACUUCUAGCCUCUAGACAACACAGCAACUUGAAUUCUAUCAUCCAGUGUAAUGAGAGUAGUUGUCCAUCCAAAACUUGGUCUCCCAGUUUCCUUCAUCUUAUGGCAACAUUCCCCUUUCAGACCUCAGACUUUCAUCUGUUUGAGUCAAAUAUUCUGUCUGGUGUAACAGAAAAGAUGAACUGAUUCAGCUUCAUCUGCUUUGUGCUGCUAAAGGCCAAUUUGCUUUGUUACAUAAAAGACUGCAGUACAGAUCCAUCACAUAAAUUGACUUCUGGAAUCCAGAAAGAUAAUACAGGUGUGUUAUUGUUGCUUUUGAGUUUCCGUAUUUAAACAGACUUCCCUUUAAGGUCUAUUCCUCCCACUUUCCUUUCUACUGUAGUGUAGUAUGGAUUUUCUGUUUUGGGUCUACAGAAUAAGUUUUGUUCUGUUGUACUGACAGAGCUUGACAUUUGACACCUAACACUUGACACUCAACACUUCUAAAUUCUCUUAGCUUUGCUUCUUUGCUGAAUUUUGCUUUGAAAUCAACUGGUCCUAUACCCAUAACCCCCAGAAGGAAUAGGGAAUGACCGUGCUUCUGCAAGGUUGUACUGGAGAGUGAACUUUAAAAGAAGUAUUUGCAAUGCAUCUUUUGCUGCCUUCCAAGUCUGAAGGAAAGGUAAUCCAUUUACUCAGACAGGUACUUUCCUGCACAUGCAACUUCAGAUUCCUUCCUGGAGCAAGAGCUUCAAAUGUGUUUGUGUAGCUGAGAAGUCAGUCUCAUUAUUCGUCUGUCUAAAUUGGAUUAUUCUUUAAUAACAACAAUAAUAAGCCUUCAUUAAUAAUGUUUAUCUGUCUACAAACAGAUUUGCUUGUUUAGUGUGUUUGAUGCAUUCAUGGGAAUGGAGUCUCAGACUUCUGUAGCCAUAGUGAUGCUUUUGUCCCAGCACAAAAUUGCAAACCUGUUUUUCAUUUCCCUGUGCUGUUUCAAAAUGAAAUGACAUGCAGGCAUACCAAUCUGAAACAGAUUUAUGUGCUCUGAGACAGAGCUGAGACAGCGAUUCAAGUAUGGCCCGUCUCAUUUGAGUACAGAUGAAAAGAGAAAUGACAGCAUGCUCACGAGUAGAAAACUCUUAUUCAAGUCAGCCAGACUGUGGCAUGUGAGUUAAACUUAGGGCAAAGAGCCAUGAACUCCUGAAUUCUAAAUCAGUUAUGUCAUUGACUUUCUGUGUGAGCUCUCAUAAAUCUCCAUGGCUAAUAUUUCCUAUCCUCAGUAUGUAUAUCCAUAUUUAGGUCUCAAAUGAUUUGCAGACAUGCUGAAGACCCACAGUUUCUAUUUAUUUUUAAGGUCAGAUACACCUUUUCAAGUACAAUAAUCUAUUAUUUUUUGUUGGCACACAUUUGUAAUUUGAUCACUGAAACAGAAUUUUACAGUUGGAAAAAAAAAAAUACAAAUAGCAUUUUUAUGCAAUUUCUUUUCAAUUUAUCUGAACAUACACUUUUCCUUCAUGAAAACACUUACAGAAAAUUACAGAUAAAUAUUUGUUUUCAGACAGCACAGCUGAAGAAAACAUGAAAUGCUUUGAAAUAAGUUUUGAAGUGACUAUUGAUAGGAGCAAAGUACAAAAUUAAUACACAAAAAGUAUCUAGGAAUGUAGGGUUUUUUAUACUCAGUAAAGCCUAGAAAUCAGUACAGCUCACUGUAGGGAAGGUAUCUUGAGUAAGCUUUAGUUGCUUGAUUACAAAUAUCUAGUUAGUCUGUAGCUGUCAGCUGAGUCACAUUCUACGCUGACCUUGUGAGCAUCCACAUGUAAACACCUGUAAUUACUGUCUCUGUCUCAGACUGAUUCUUUCUCCAAUAGCUCUGGUGCCUCAGUUCUGGGAAGCGCAGCCAGAGACACCUUCAAAACAGCCCCGAUUUUCAGAAUGUUUUGACUUAUACUCAAUUAAUUAAGCAUCUCAAACUUGAUGGCUAAAGAAGAUUUUUCUAUGAUUUAUAUCGGUUGAAAAUAUAACAGCUGAUGUCAGUAAGUUCCAACUACAUUGUUGUUUUGAUUUGGCUCUUUUGAUGGCAGCUGCAGUAAGGCUACUUAACGUAGACAAAGUAGUCUAGCUUUGCAGGUCAAUGGAGAUUUAGGAGAAUAAAUAGGACAUUCAUGCUGCA